GAUGAACGCUAGCGGGAGGCCUAACACAUGCAAGCCGAGCGGUAGAGUUUUUUCGGAAACUUGAGAGCGGCGCACGGGUGCGUAACACGUGUGCAACCUACCUUUAUCUGGGGGAUAGCCUUUCGAAAGGAAGAUUAAUACCCCAUAAUAUAAUGAUUGGCAUCAAUUAUUAUUGAAAACUCCGGUGGCUAGAGAUGGGCACGCGCAAGAUUAGAUAGUUGGUGAGGUAACGGCUCACCAAGUCAAUGAUCUUUAGGGGUCCUGAGGGGGAGAUCCCCCACACUGGUACUGCGGCACGGACCAGACUGCUACGGAAGGCAGCAGUGAGGAAUAGUAGACGAUGGGUGAGAGCCUGAUCCAGCCAUCCCGCGUGAAGGAGGACUGUCCUAUGGAUGGUAAACCUCUUUUGUACAGAGAUAACCCUACCCUCGUGAGGGUAGCUGAAGGUACUGUACGAAUAAGCACCGGCUAACUCCGUG
rnacentral:rRNA from 1 species